GACGAACGCUGGCGGCGUGCCUAAUACAUGCAAGUUGAGCGCUGAAGGUUGGUACUUGUACCAACUGGAUGAGCAGCGAACGGGUGAGUAACGCAUGGGGAAUCUGCCUUUGAGCGGGGGACAACAUUUGGAAACGAAUGCUAAUACCGCAUAAAAACUUUAAACACAAGUUUUAAGUUUGAAAGAUGCAAUUGCAUCACUCAAAGAUGAUCCCGCGUUGUAUUAGCUAGUUGGUGAGGUAAAGGCUCACCAAGGCGAUGAUACAUAGCCGACCUGAGAGGGUGAUCGGCCACAUUGGGACUGAGACACGGCCCAAACUCCUACGGGAGGCAGCAGUAGGGAAUCGUCGGCAAUGGACGAAAGUCUGACCGAGCAACGCCGCGUGAGUGAAGAAGGUUUUCGGAUCGUAAAACUCUGUUGGUAGAGAAGAACGUUGGUGAGAGUGGAAAGCUCAUCAAGUGACGGUAACUACCCAGAAAGGGACGGCUAACUACGUG
rnacentral:rRNA from 1 species